rnacentral:rRNA from 1 species
UACGUAGGGUGCAAGCGUUAAUCGGAAUUACUGGGCGUAAAGCGUGCGCAGGCGGCUAUGCAAGACAGAUGUGAAAUCCCCGGGCUCAACCUGGGAACUGCAUUUGUGACUGCAUAGCUAGAGUACGGUAGAGGGGGAUGGAAUUCCGCGUGUAGCAGUGAAAUGCGUAGAUAUGCGGAGGAACACCGAUGGCGAAGGCAAUCCCCUGGACCUGUACUGACGCUCAUGCGACGAA